UAUCAUGCAGUCGAGGGGCAGCACAGGUAGCAAUACUGGGUGGCGACCGGCAAACGGGUGCGGAACACGUACGUAACCUUCCUUUAAGUGGGAGAUAGCCCGAAGAAAUUCGGAUUAAUACCCCAUAAGAUUGUGGAGUGGCAUCACUCAGCAAUUAAAGAAAUUCGCUUAAAGAUGGGCGUGCGGCUGAUUAGGUAGUUGGUGAGGUAACGGCUCACCAAGCCAACGAUCAGUAACUGGCGUGAGAGCGCGACCAGUCACACGGGCACUGAGACACGGGCCCGACUCCUACGGGAGGCAGCAGUAAGGAAUAUUGGUCAAUGGACGCAAGUCUGAACCAGCCAUGCCGCGUGAAGGAUGAAGGUCCUCUGGAUUGUAAACUUCUUUUAUAUGGGAAGAAACCACUUUUUUCUAAAGGUGUUGACGGUACCAUAGGAAUAAGCACCGGCUAACUCCGUGCCAGCAGCCGCGGUAAUACGGAGGGUGCAAGCGUUAUCCGGAUUCACUGGGUUUAAAGGGUGCGUAGGCGGAUUAGUAAGUCCGUGGUGAAAUCUCCGAGCUUAACUCGGAAACUGCCGUGGAUACUAUUAAUCUUGAAUACUGUGGAGGUUAGCGGAAUAUGUCAUGUAGCGGUGAAAUGCAUAGAUAUGACAUAGAACACCAAUUGCGAAGGCAGCUGGCUACACAGAGAUUGACGCUGAGGCACGAAAGCGUGGGGAUCAAACAGGAUUAGAUACCCUGGUAGUCCACGCCCUAAACGAUGAUUACUCGACAUUUGCGAUAUACAGUAAGUGUCUGAGCGAAAGCAUUAAGUAAUCCACCUGGGAAGUACGACCGCAAGGUUGAAAC
rnacentral:rRNA from 1 species